UACACUUGAAACAAAUAGCCAAACUGAAAACUGCAGACAAAAAUGUGAAGAGCAGAAAUGAAGAGCAGAAAUGUCAGCUAGCAAGCAAGUCACAGUAACGAGGAACGCGAAGGGGGGGAUUCUGUCAGAGGGGAGAUUUUCGACACAACACCUGUGCAGAAGCAAAGGCUACGUCAUCAACGGGAGCCAUGCUUUUACUCCUCGGUUUGCUCAGAGCCUGAUGAGGAGAGGCUAAUAUACUUGUGUAUGGCAGUCCAGACGGCAGCAUCAAGCUUGACUUUGUAUUUGUAUCCAUUCCAUGCAGUCACUAAAAGAGAGACAACCGGCAGGCUUGUGUCCAGAGACUUGUCUUCCACCUACACCUCACCAGAGACACAACGCAGAAAGAUUUCCUGUCAUCCACCUCUUUCCUGAUCUCCCGGACAACAUUACUAGCCUUUUCCCUGCCUGUACUGUUACCUUUUUGGAUUCCCUGUGUAUGACCUUCUGCCUGUCCCUGGACCGUGCUACCUGCCUCCUCCUGUGUAUGACCUUCUGCCUGUCCAUGGGACCAUGCUACCUGCCUCCUCCUGUGGUCCUUUACACCUGCUGCGCCCUGCGCUUGAAACCAGCACUUAGUCUCCCAUCAUACUCAUUACAGGUGGACAUGUUUAUUAAUUAGUCUGUGUAAGGUGUAAAUAUGGUCAGUAGUGCGAUGGUGGGGGAGAAAUCCAAUGUGACAUUUACUGAAUUAAAUUUUUUUAUUGAAGAAAGUAUUGAAUUCAAAAUGCUAUACACAACCUUUCCCAAUUAGUUGUUUUUGCAAAUUCCCCUGUAAUUAUUGGGGUCUGAUUUGUCUCCACUCUUGUGGACAGGGGAAAAGUUAAUACCAUACUGAACAUUUUAAGCACAGCAUUUUGCAACUCAGGUGUGCUGUUUUUCAGCAUUUCAUUUCUGAUCUUAUCUAGACCACAAGCCGCCUUUGAUUUUAUAGAUUUGAGCUUUUCAUUUAGUUCUUGUUGGGUUAUUGGGUCAUUUUUAAUGGAUUUUGGUUGUUUUUAAUGACUGAUUCAAGGAUGUUCAAUUUUUCUUGAAUUUCUAAUUGGUUCUGUUGUCUUUUUGUAAAGAUUAUCAAAAUACGUUUUCCAAAUUCCUUCAUCUUGUAAUUCUUGUGGCUUUGUCGAGCUUAAAUUGUUCGUGGUUCAGAACUGAUUUCGUUCAACUGCGUUUUCAAUUUCGUCGAGUGUCUUGUUGGUAUAAUUCAAUUUCUUGCGUUUCAGUGUAUGUUUCUACGGCUUCAGAGUUUCAAAGUAUUCAUAGCGUAGCUCCGAGAGUCCCCUCUGAUUCUACCAUUAAGCAUGUACAGGCCUAA